rnacentral:rRNA from 1 species
GAUGAACGCUGGCGGCGUGCCUAAUACAUGCAAGUCGAGCGAACAGACGAGGAGCUUGCUCCUUCGACGUUAGCGGCGGACGGGUGAGUAACACGUAGGUAACCUACCUAUAAGACUGGGAUAACUUCGGGAAACCGGAGCUAAUACCGGAUAAUAUUUCGAACCGCAUGGUUCGAUAGUGAAAGAUGGCUUUGCUAUCACUUAUAGAUGGACCUGCGCCGUAUUAGCUAGUUGGUAAGGUAACGGCUUACCAAGGCAACGAUACGUAGCCGACCUGAGAGGGUGAUAGGCCACACUGGAACUGAGACACGGUCCAGACUACUACGGGAGGCAGCAGUAGGGAAUGUUACGCAAUGGGCGAAAGCAUGACGGAGCAACGCCGCGUGAGUGAUGAAGGUCUUCGGAUCGUAAAACUCUGUUAUUAGGGAAGAACAAACGUGUAAGUAACUGUGCACGUAUUGACGGUACCUAAUCAGAAAGCCACGGCUAACUACGUG